rnacentral:rRNA from 1 species
GACGAACGCUGGCGGCGUGCUUAACACAUGCGAGUCGAACGAUGAGGCCUAGCUUGCUAGGUGGAAUAGUGGCGAACGGGUGAGUAAUACGUGAGUAACCUACCUUGAACUCUGGGAUAAGCCUGGGAAACUGGGGCUAAUACCGGAUACGACCAAUCUCCGCAUGGGGUGUUGGUGGAAAGCGUUAUGUAGUGGUUAUAGAUGGGCUCACGGCCUAUCAGCCUGUUGGUGAGGUAACGGCUCACCAAGGCGACGACGGGUAGCCGGCCUGAGAGGGUGACCGGCCACACUGGGACUGAGACACGGCCCAGACUCCUACGGGAGGCAGCAGUGGGGAAUAUUGCACAAUGGGCGCAAGCCUGAUGCAGCGACGCCGCGUGAGGGAUGACGGCCUUCGGGUUGUAAACCUCUGUUAGCAGGGAAGAAGAGAGAUUGACGGUACCUGCAGAGAAAGCGCCGGCUAACUACGUGCCAGCAGCCGCGGUAAUACGUAGGGCGCGAGCGUUGUCCGGAAUUAUUGGGCGUAAAGAGCUUGUAGGCGGUUUGUCGCGUCUGCUGUGAAGGCCGGGGCUUAACUCCGUGUAUUGCAGUGGGUACGGGCAGACUAGAGUGCAGUAGGGGAGACUGGAACUCCUGGUGUAGCGGUGGAAUGCGCAGAUAUCAGGAAGAACACCGAUGGCGAAGGCAGGUCUCUGGGCUGUAACUGACGCUGAGAAGCGAAAGCAUGGGGAGCGAACAGGAUUAGAUACCCUGGUAGUCCAUGCCGUAAACGUUGGGCACUAGGUGUGGGGGACAUUCCACGUUUUCCGCGCCGUAGCUAACGCAUUAAGUGCCCCGCCUGGGGAGUACGGCCGCAAGGCUAAAACUCAAAGAAAUUGACGGGGGCCCGCACAAGCGGCGGAGCAUGCGGAUUAAUUCGAUGCAACGCGAAGAACCUUACCAAGGCUUGACAUAUACUGGACCGCAUCAGAGAUGGUGUUUCCCUUCGGGGCUGGUAUACAGGUGGUGCAUGGUUGUCGUCAGCUCGUGUCGUGAGAUGUUGGGUUAAGUCCCGCAACGAGCGCAACCCUCGUUCUAUGUUGCCAGCACGUUAUGGUGGGGACUCAUAGGAGACUGCCGGGGUCAACUCGGAGGAAGGUGGGGAUGACGUCAAAUCAUCAUGCCCCUUAUGUCUUGGGCUUCACGCAUGCUACAAUGGCCGGUACAGAGGGUUGCGAUACUGUGAGGUGGAGCUAAUCCCUAAAAGCCGGUCUCAGUUCGGAUUGGGGUCUGCAACUCGACCCCAUGAAGUCGGAGUCGCUAGUAAUCGCAGAUCAGCAACGCUGCGGUGAAUACGUUCCCGGGCCU